UCAACGCAAUUGCGGUAGGAAGUACCCAACAUUAAAUAGAAUCAUGCACACGCACUUGCGUUAACGCGGCGUCGACACGCGUCUCAUUUGCGGCGAGAGUUACCGCAAAGUCACCGCAAUUCCCCACAGGAACGCAGCGUGCACGCGAGUAUUUUUUUGACAUUUCUCUAUUCUGUUUCUUUCCAACAAGAUUUCUAAUGGGAAAAUCUGUGAUGUGAAAUAAUGUGUCAGAGCGAAAUCAAAACAAACAAAAAUACUUCGCAAAUCAGUUCAUUUUGGUUUCGCAAAUUAAUUUGCAAAUUGCAACACUUUUCAAAUCUAGCUUCUUUGAAUAAUAGCAAUUGUAAAUAGUUCGGAGCGGUAAGUGUUUCUUUCGUUCCUGCGUUAGUACCAGUCGCGGUCAAAACACCUUUGGAAAGAACUGACAAGCAACCAUCCCAUGCUGGUGGAUAGAGUCAAAAUCAACGCAAGUAUGUGCAGGAUAGUGUUGUGAAUCAAUUGAUUUCCGAACAGACGGUGAUGUGGCAGUUUUGGGUUGAGUGACAAGCAGGCAAAAUUCAACCAACAAAGUGCAUUCCGCGGGACCCUGUAUAUACACCAAGGAAGGCGAUACCAGGUCCGCCAUGGGCAGAAUUAUUAAAUAUAGGAAUGUCAACGGAAGGAUGUCGUCAAAUAAUGUGAAUUGCAAUUGCAAGAAGAAACGAGAUCAGAUAAGCUACAGUAAGACUCUGGGACUAAUGCGUUUCUUCUAGUGUUGUGGGCAACGCUACUGCGAUCGGUCCGUGUUGCAGUGAAGUGAAAAUUCCAAUGAUACCUAAUAACGAUUCGUUUGGCAUUAAGAUAGCACUUCUUUGGAAGAACAACGACAAACGUAGCAACACGCCAGCAAUCGCUUGUGAUGCUUUCGGAGGAGGAUUUUGAGCACCUUAUUUGUAGGAGCGACUGCAGUAUCUGACCAAAAUGUUUAAUGACUUUUUAUUCCGGAACAAAUGAUUCGCCGAUAAAUGGAACUAAUAAAAAUCGUACCCCAAACGCAA